CAGCAGCCGCGGGAAUACGAAGGGGGCUAGCGUUGCUCGGAAUCACUGGGCGUAAAGGGUGCGUAGGUGGGUCUUUAAGUCAGGGGUGAAAUCCUGGAGCUCAACUCCAGAACUGCCUUUGAUACUGAAGAUCUUGAGUUCGGGAGAGGUGAGUGGAACUGCGAGUGUAGAGGUGAAAUUCGUAGAUAUUCGCAAGAACACCAGUGGCGAAGGCGGCUCACUGGCCCGAUACUGACGCUGAGGCACGAAAGCGUGGGGAGCAAACAGGAUUAGAUACCCGUGUAGUCCCUGUCUCUUAUAC
rnacentral:rRNA from 1 species